UGUAUAAAGUACACAUAAUUGAGUGUUUAU
rnacentral:rRNA from 1 species